CUACCCGUCGAGCCCCGCUCGUGUUGGGGUUCUGCGGCUGCCGCAGGCCCUUAAAGACAGUGGCGGGACCGCCGCCGCGCCGAGCGUAGUAGCGCAAGCCUCGCUCCGGAGCGGCGCCGGCCCCCGCCGGGCCCAGGCCCGAAGCCCCAGACA
rnacentral:misc_RNA from 1 species